GAUGAACGCUGGCGGCGUGCCUAAUACAUGCAAGUCGAGCGAACAGAUGAGGAGCUUGCUCCUCUGACGUUAGCGGCGGACGGGUGAGUAACACGUGGAUAACCUACCUAUAAGACUGGGAUAACUUCGGGAAACCGGAGCUAAUACCGGAUAAUAUAUUGAACCGCAUGGUUCAAUAGUGAAAGACGGUUUUGCUGUCACUUAUAGAUGGAUCCGCGCCGCGUUAGCUAGUUGGUAAGGUAACGGCUUACCAAGGCAACGAUGCGUAGCCGACCUGAGAGGGUGAUCGGCCACACUGGAACUGAGACACGGUCCAGACUCCUACGGGAGGCAGCAGUAGGGAAUCUUCCGCAAUGGGCGAAAGCCUGACGGAGCAACGCCGCGUGAGUGAUGAAGGUCUUCGGAUCGUAAAACUCUGUUAUUAGGGAAGAACAAAUGUGUAAGUAACUAUGCACGUCUUGACGGUACCUAAUCAGAAAGCCACGGCUAACUACGU
rnacentral:rRNA from 1 species